rnacentral:rRNA from 1 species
CCGGGGAGUACGACCGCAAGGUUGAAACUCAAAGGAAUUGAACGGGGCCCGCGACAAGCAGUGGAGUAUGUGGUUUAAUUCGAAGCAACGCGAAGAACCUUACCAGGUCUUGACAUCCGAUGCAUAGUCUAGAGAUAGAUAAAGUCCUUCGGGACAUCGAGACAGGUGGUGCAUGGUUGUCGUCAGCUCGUGUCGUGAGAUGUUGGGUUAAGUCCCGCAACGAGCGCAACCCUUAUCGUUAGUUACUACGCAAGAGGACUCUAGCGAGACUGCCGUUGACAAAACGGAGGAAGGUGGGGAUGACGUCAAAUCAUCAUGCCCUUUAUGACCUGGGCUACACACGUACUACAAUGGCAAUUAACAAAGAGAAGCGAAACCGCGAGGUGGAGCAAACCUCAUAAAAAUUGUCUCAGUUCAGAUUGCAGGCUGCAACUCGCCUGCAUGAAGUCGGAAUUGCUAGUAAUCGCGGAUCAGCAUGCCGCGGUGAAUACGUUCCCGGGCCUUGUACACAC